AACGUAGGGGGCAAGCGUUGCCCGGAUUCACUGGGCGUAAAGCGGGUGUAGGCGGUUCUUUAAGUCAGAUGUGAAAUCCUGCGGCUCAACCGCGGAACUGCAUCUGAUACUGGGGAACUUGGGGACGGUAGAGGUCGGUGGAAUCCCCGGUGUACCGGUGAAAUGGGCAGAUAUCGGGGGGAACACCAGUGGCGAAGGCGGCCGACUGGGCCGAUCCUGACGCUGAGACCCGAAAGCCAGGGUAGCGAACCGG
rnacentral:rRNA from 1 species